rnacentral:rRNA from 1 species
CACGGAGGGUGCAAGCGUUAUCCGGAUUCACUGGGUUUAAAGGGUGCGUAGGUGGGUUGGUAAGUCAGUGGUGAAAUCUCCAGGCUUAACUUGGAAACUGCCAUUGAUACUAUCAAUCUUGAAUGCCGUGGAGGUCAGCGGAAUAUGUCAUGUAGCGGUGAAAUGCUUAGAUAUGACAUAGAACACCAAUUGCGAAGGCAGCUGGCUACACGAAUAUUGACACUGAUGCACGAAAGCGUGGGGAGCAAACAGG